UUAGUGGCGGACGGGUGAGUAACGCGUGGAAAACCUGCCGUAUACUGGGGGAUAACACUUAGAAAUAGGUGCUAAUACCGCAUAAGCGCACAGCUUCGCAUGAAGCGGUGUGAAAAACUCUGGUGGUAUACGAUGGUUCCGCGUCUGAUUAGCUAGUUGGUGGGGUAAUGGCCUACCAAGGCAACGAUCAGUAGCCGGCCUGAGAGGGUGAACCGGCCACAUUGGGACUGAGACACGGCCCAAACUCCUACGGAAGGCAGCAG
rnacentral:rRNA from 1 species